rnacentral:lncRNA from 1 species
ACAAGGGAGAUGUCCGCCCCCAGUCGUAGCCUCGGACGGUUUCUGAGCGUUGGUGUUUGGCACGCGCCACCCUCUCUUGCUUUGGUUCCGCCAUGCCGAUGUACCAGGUAAAACCUUAUCACGGGCGCGGCGCGCCUCUCCGUGUGGAGCUUCCCACCUGCAUGUACCGGCUCUCUAACGUGCAAGGCAGGAGCGGCGGCCCAGCGCCCGGCGUUGGCCACCUACAGUCUUUGGUAGAUGAGUGGCUGGAUAGCUACAAGCAAGACCAGGAUGCAGGAUUUCUGGAGCUUGUUAACUUUUUCAUCUGAUCUUGUGGAUGUAAAGGCACUGUGAGCCCUGAGAUGUUCAAGAAGAUGUCCAACUCAGAGAUCAUCCAGCACCUAACAGAGCGUUUAAUGAGGUGGAAGAAGAUGACCAGGAUCCUCUUACCCCUCUUAUUUCAAAACACAAUGCCUAUUAUCCCCUUCUUUUUGAUUCUGUGAAAUAGGGUAGCUUUUAGAAGGUGGAGUUCAGUCUCUUGGGGGUAAAAGAGAUCUGAAUAUGCCUCUCAAACUGGGGAGACAGCUAGGAAAUGAAGCAUAACAGAUAUUUUUACUAGACUGUUGGGUUUUGACAUCCAAGCCCCUAUGACUUCAUAUACCUGGUCAUAACUUUCCCAUCCUUUUCAUACAUCCUUUUGUAGGACUCGGGGGACUAUCCUCUGACAGCUCCAGGUCUAUCCUGGAAGAAGUUCCAGGGCAGCUUCUGUGAGUUUGUGGGGACAUUGGUCUGUCGGUGCCAGUACAUCCUCCUCCAUGAUGACUUCCCUAUGGACAACCUCAUCUCCCUGCUCACUGGCUUCUCAGACUCACAAGUCUGCGCCUUCUGUCACACUAGCACCCUGGCUGCUAUGAAACUGAUGACCUCCCUGGUAAGAGUUGCCCUCCAACUGAGUCUGCACGAAGAUAUCAAUCAGCGUCAGUAUGAGGCUGAAAGAAACAAGGGGCCAGGGCAGAGGGCACCUGAGCGGCUGGAGAGCCUGUUGGAGAAACACAAAGAG